GCUCAGAUGUCAUAAAAGAUGUUACGCCCAAAACACCCACAUGAAUGUUUAGGAAAUAUAAGCAUAAACAUUUUGAACAGUGCGCCCAGUGUUUAAUCACAAAAUCCCGCCUGGACACGUCUUAAAUGUUUUUAAACUUUGCAUCUCUGACCAGACGUUUCAGAUAGCCAAGAUCGGGUCCAAUUUGUUUAAGUAAAACACAUUUCCAUCAUGGUCCCUGAUGUCUGCAAGACCGGAGAGACCAGAUUUUGUGUUUUAUUAGCAUGGGCUUAAAUGACCCGUGUAGGGUUACGCUGGGUUUUUUUGUAGGCCUAGGCUACAUAAAAAGGUGUAGCCUACUUCCUCAUACAUCACAGAGAGGAGCAUUCUAUACAUCUUGUGUCAGGGUCGUCGAAGUUAUGACUCAAGGGAAAAUGAUCCAUGUACUGCUUUUGGUGGGACUCUUUUGUUACUCUGCUGGUCAGAGCACUCCAGCUUCAACAACUUGGCCUACCACCGCUACUGCUUCGACGAAUGUGUCUCCUACACCUGAGACAGGUCUCCCAAUAGUUGUGGCACUGAGAGUCGUUAUCCAGUCACAUGAGGCUCUGAAUGCAACAACUGUACAAACCUCUUUGGGCAAGAUUGCAUCCCUACUCUCACUGGGCUCAGAUGUCCAAAUAUCAGUGAGGAGCAUUCAGCUUGUCUAGUUUUCCACAUCCUACUACACUACAUGUGCUGUUGCUUAACACAAGACAUGAUUAUGUCAUCCAAGGGGGACAUUGUUUUCAUACCCUUCACAAAUAGGUAGCUCUGUCAUCAUUGUGUAGAGAGAACCCUUUUUUCCUAUUUGAGAAAAUAGUACAGUGUUGCUGAUUAUAGUGCCUAUACUGUCUAUAUUGUUGUUGGAAUAUUGAAAAUAAUAAAGCUUUGCCUAUUGGCAAAACAAGUUAUUCUGGUGUUGUUUAAAGGAGAAGUAUGACAUUUAUUAAAUUUAGACUUAUCUAUAAUGGGGU